rnacentral:rRNA from 1 species
AUGAACGCUAGCUACAGGCUUAACACAUGCAAGUCGAGGGGCAGCAUGAACUUAGCUUGCUAAGUUUGAUGGCGACCGGCGCACGGGUGAGUAACACGUAUCCAACCUGCCGAUGACUCGGGGAUAGCCUUUCGAAAGAAAGAUUAAUACCCGAUGGCAUAGUUCUUCCGCAUGGUAGAACUAUUAAAGAAUUUCGGUCAUCGAUGGGGAUGCGUUCCAUUAGGUUGUUGGCGGGGUAACGGCCCACCAAGCCUUCGAUGGAUAGGGGUUCUGAGAGGAAGGUCCCCCACAUUGGAACUGAGACACGGUCCAAACUCCUACGGGAGGCAGCAGUGAGGAAUAUUGGUCAAUGGACGAGAGUCUGAACCAGCCAAGUAGCGUGAAGGAUGACUGCCCUAUGGGUUGUAAACUUCUUUUAUACGGGAAUAAAGUGAGGCACGUGUGCCUUUUUGUAUGUACCGUAUGAAUAAGGAUCGGCUAACUCCGUGCCAGCAGCCGCGGUAAUACGGAGGAUCCGAGCGUUAUCCGGAUUUAUUGGGUUUAAAGGGAGCGUAGGCGGACGCUUAAGUCAGUUGUGAAAGUUUGCGGCUCAACCGUAAAAUUGCAGUUGAUACUGGGUGUCUUGAGUACAGUAGAGGCAGGCGGAAUUCGUGGUGUAGCGGUGAAAUGCUUAGAUAUCACGAAGAACUCCGAUUGCGAAGGCAGCUUGCUGGACUGUAACUGACGCUGAUGCUCGAAAGUGUGGGUAUCAAACAGGAUUAGAUACCCUGGUAGUCCACACAGUAAACGAUGAAUACUCGCUGUUUGCGAUAUACAGUAAGCGGCCAAGCGAAAGCGUUAAGUAUUCCACCUGGGGAGUACGCCGGCAACGGUGAAACUCAAAGGAAUUGACGGGGGCCCGCACAAGCAGUGGAGUAUGUGGUUUAAUUCGAAGCAACGCGAAGAACCUUACCAGGCCUUGACAUCCCUUGCAGAGGUAUAGAGAUAUAUCCGGGGUUAUCAAGGAGACAGGUGGUGCAUGGUUGUCGUCAGCUCGUGCCGUGAGGUGUCGGCUUAAGUGCCAUAACGAGCGCAACCCUUAUCGAUAGUUACCAUCAGGUUAUGCUGGGGACUCUGUCGAGACUGCCGUCGUAAGAUGUGAGGAAGGUGGGGAUGACGUCAAAUCAGCACGGCCCUUACGUCCGGGGCUACACACGUGUUACAAUGGGGGGUACAGAAGGCAGCUACACGGCGACGUGAUGCUAAUCCCUAAAGCCUCUCUCAGUUCGGAUUGGAGUCUGCAACCCGACUCCAUGAAGCUGGAUUCGCUAGUAAUCGCGCAUCAGCCACGGCGCGGUGAAUACGUUCCCGGGCCUUGUACACACCGCCCGUCAAGCCAUGAAAGCCGGGGGUACCUGAAGUGCGUAACCGCAAGGAGCGCCCUAGGGUAAAACUGGUGAUUGGGGCU